rnacentral:lncRNA from 1 species
GAGUCCAUAGCAAAAUGGGUCAUGCGGCUGUGAGUGACCUUGUGGCUCCACAUUCUCUUCAUCCACAACACCUGCAAUAUUCAAACAUAAAAUAAAACCAAUUUCAUCUAUUAGCAACUAUUUGCUGUUGAUUUUGAUGUAAUUAAGACCAACCACCAACCACCGACCACUUACAGUGCCAAGAUCAAUUCUGAUUUUCUAAGAAGCAUCAAAGAACGAAAUCGGACCAGAGAGAAAGAGUGAGGGAUUGGUAACUUACUAAGUUAAGCUGUCAAAUCCAAGAAAAUAUGAAUUCUUAGGGAACGAGUAAUCUGUUGUCAUUGGAGCCAGCAAAACCAACUUUGAUUGAUAAAAAUAUAUAUAUCUUCUCUCCUCAAAACCCCCUACCCAGCGAAGCCAUCCCAAUCCAAACCCUCCUCGACCUCAUCAAUGUAUGGACGCGACUCGACUUGUUGCUUAGAUCUGGGUGGCAUAAGGCCGUGUUCGAAUAUGAGGUUUGGGGCCGUGCAACCAGAUCCCUAAUACUCAAUCAAAGAACAAGCAUAGUUGCAUAUUUGUAAAUUUGAAUCAAAGAAUAAAGUUCACAAGCUUGAGUCGCAAACUCGAAGAUCAACAUUUUAUGACUGAACAAAAUGAGACCCCUUGAGUGACCAUACAAAACGCCCAUGGAGGUUGAACCAAGGGGGAGAGAGAGAGAGACAGAGACAGAGACAGAGAUGGCGACUUGAUCUGGGUUGGAAAGAGUCAGAUUUAAUAGAGGUGGGUGAAGCUAUGAGGAGGGUGGGUUGGAGAUCAGGCUAG